GUAUUCGCUUUGGCAGCACAUAUAUUAAAAUUGGAAUGAUAAAGAGAAGAUUAGCAUAGCCCCUGCACAAGAAUGAUACACAAAUUCGAGAAGCGUUCCAUAUUUUU